rnacentral:rRNA from 1 species
AGGACGAACGCUGGCGGCGUGCUUAACACAUGCAAGUCGAACGCUCUUGGGGCUUCGGUCUCAGGGGAGUGGCGCACGGGUGAGUAGCGCGUGGGAACCUGCCCUGUUGUGGGGGAUAACCGAGGGAAACUUCGGCUAAUACCGCAUAAGCCGGUUGUCUUGAAGGAGAUGGCCGGGAAAGAUUUAUCGCGACAGGAGGGGCCCGCGUCGGAUUAGCUAGUUGGUGGGGUAACGGCCCACCAAGGCGGUGAUCCGUAGCUGGUCUGAGAGGAUGAUCAGCCACACUGGGACUGAGACACGGCCCAGACUCCUACGGGAGGCAGCAGUGGGGAAUAUUGGACAAUGGGCGCAAGCCUGAUCCAGCAAUGCCGCGUGAGUGAUGAAGGCCUUCGGGUUGUAAAGCUCUUUCGCCCGCGACGAUGAUGACGGUAGCGGGAGAAGAAGCCCGGCUAACUUCGUGCCAGCAGCCGC